AAGGCGUGCAUUACGCACACCCUACUUUUUUUCUGGUGUUGAUUGAGUUUUGAGCCAACAUUUUUAUAUUCCAAUUCUACCCCCACCCCGAAUAUAUAUUUUCUUUCUUUAUUAUUUUAUUUUAUAUAUUUUCUUGCCCCAAUUUGUUUCUUCAAAGCUCACGAAAACAAACCCUAGACCGUGAAACUGAGGAAUAAGAAUCUGUUUUUCAGAGAGCAUCUGAGAUUUGAACCCCCUAAUUCGGACUGCGGUGAUCGUUUAUACCUGUCUAAUUUCUCGAAAAGCCUUUUGAUAUUUGUUAAAGAAGAUAGGCUGCUAUGAGAUUCAAAACUGGGGACGUGGUUGAGGUGAUGAAGAGUAGGGAGGUACCAGUUUCAUGGCGUGCUGCUGACAUACUAUCACGUAGCGGGGAUACUUAUACCAUCCAGUAUGUUUGCUAUCCUGGUAUGGCAAAUAAGCGGUUGGUGGAGGUGGUUUCAAGGAAGUUAUUGAGACCUUGCCCUUCUUCGCUACAAGGGGCGAAGAGUUUCAUAACAGGAGACAUUGUUGAGGUCUUCCAUCAAUUUUCCUGGAAGAUUGCUGUGGUCUUGAAUGUUCUAGGAGGCAAAAAAGAAAGUAGAAAUAAUAAGAUCCAUCACAAGGUUUCGACAUGCAAGAAUCGAUAUUUAGUGAGGCUACUUGGGUGCUCAAAGGAAUUGGCUAUUGAUAGAACGAAGAUCAGGAUGAGACAGACAUGGCAUGAUGGAAAAUGGGUUCCAUUGACAAAGAUUCCUCAAGUAGGGGAUGAUGUAAUAGUGAGCAAACCAUCAAAGUCAAAUUGUUGUCCGAAGAUGAACUUCCAGGUUCCAGUGUUCGAUUCACGAGCUAAAUAUCAACCUGCAGAAGAUUGUGGAAACAUCCAAGAUGAAGCUGCACUGAGGGAAUCUGCUGUGAUCUCUUCAAGAUCGCUAAAGAGGAUGUCCCCCUAUAUUUCCUCCGUUGUCGAAGCCAAUAACGGGCAUGUACAGAAAUUUAGAGCAGCGGAGAAAGAAGGCCGGAAGCAGCGAGUGGUUGCUGACCGGGUUCUUGAAAAGGUACAUGCUGUUGCUUACCCAAAAGAAACUUUGGGUGAAACAUACAUGCAUGCUUCCCAUAACAUUAUAUCAAAUGGAUAUGAUCAAAUGGAGAGGGAAAAACAAAAUGACGUUCUUGGCUAUUCUGGGUUCAGAGACUCUGAAUUAAAUAGUUCUGACAGUGAUGUUUGUUCUGUUGGUAGUUGUAGUGUUACUAACCAGAGUCGUAAAAACUAUUAUAAUCAUUUUAUGCCUUUGCAUUGCCAAGAGACAGACACCCUUUGUAGUGAUGCAGAGUCUUUUUAUGGUUCAGGCUCUGAGAGAAAGAGUUCCUCUCUCCCUCCAAAAGAAGAGGUUGAGGUCAGUAUACGUAGCUUAGAGUUGCGUGCUUAUCGCAGCACUCUGGAAGCUUUGUAUGCUUCUGGUCCCUUAAGUUGGGAACAGGAAGCAUUGUUGACAAAUCUUCGUAUUAUGCUCCACAUUUCAAAUGAUGAACAUUUGAAGGAGCUGAAGCAUCUAAUUUCCACUAAAACUGCAAUUACUGUUAGAUGAUUGUACAAAUUAUUCGUAUAUCAUUGCUCUGUUUUAUAGCAAAAUUGUAGAAGUUGCUCUUUUGUCAACAUUGUAAGAAGAAACAUGAAUGCAAUAAGUUGUAUCUUCUAUCUCUUUCUUUGCAGACAGAUUGGCGUUUUGUAACUAAGAGAUACAUGUCAAUUCUUAAUUGAUCAUCAAAUGUAGUGUAUUUUCCCAAGGCUUUUACUGUAUCCAUUUUUGAUGAUGACCUGUUCUGUCUUGUAUUGCUUCUAGUUCUUUCUAAAACUCAAGUGCUCAUGCCUAAAAUUGUGUACACCAGUAAAUUAUUUUAUAUAUGAUGGUUAAGAGAUGCUAUUAUUGUUGUGUUCGAUCAUGUAAUAGACCUUUCUAUUUGCAUUCUUUUGUUUCAGAUGUCCUUAACUUUGGAUAUUGUGCCCUACAUAACAUCAUUACGGAUUUCUACUAUUCAACUACUUAGCUUUUGAUGAUCUGUACAUGAGGAACUGAAUCUGGAAGGUUACAGUUGACUUUGGCCUGCAAUGUUAUUGCUAGCCAAAGCUGCAUUUCUGGCUCUACUUUUACCUACAGAGUAACUAAUUUGAUCACUGUUGACCCUUAUAGUGCUUCAGUGCUGCUUUUUAGUGAAAUUCUGUAUGCAAUGCAUUAAUAAUUUACUUCUGUAAGUAUGAUUUCUUCCAUUUGACUUUGGCUGCUCUUGGACUCUGCACAUGGAUUUUCUGAGGAUGUAUUGAUCAUGCUUGAAUCCUGUACUUAUUUUCCAGGGCUACAGUUUGAGGCAUGCAUCAUUUGCUUCCAAUGGUCCAAAGCUGAUGCCAGGUUUACAGCCUUUCUCUUGGCAUUGAACUUUGGACGAUUCAGUCGUCUACUUUCAGAGCUAUGCUACAGUUAUGACCGUUCUCUGGUAUCACACAGUUUAUGCUACUUCAGUUUUUUUCUUUUUCUUCCAGCCUUAACUCCAUAUUUUAGGAUUUGUUUACCAGAGAAUAGUAAAUGUUAAAAGUGCUGUUUGUACCAAAGUUCCAUUUUCUGUUAGGAGUGCACUAACCAUAUUGAAAAUUUAAGUGACUUAUUUUAUACUUUUGCCAUGGAUAUAUAAAUCAUGUCAACAAAAAAAAUUAUCUAUGCGCGAAUCAAAGUCAGUUCUUGUCAUCGAUUUUCACCAUACUUGUGCGAGCAUCUAUAAUUGUUAGUUUGAACUGUACGGUGUAACGUGAGUUUGUCGUCUGAAGCAAAAAUUACCGCUUUUUAAUCUGAUGGGGUCUCAUUUUGAAUCUCCAGUUCUAUUCAAUAUACAUCAUCAUAAACUACUUCAAAAUAGUGAAAAACUGGUGGCUGUGUUUUCUAGGCAUAUUGCUUCAACUCAUACUUUAUUUGAUUAACAGCUCUGUUGUGUGAACACUGAUUAAAUGAAUGAGAAUGAGCCUUGAAAACAUUCUUGAGAAGAUGAAAAGAGUUGGAGAGAUUCAGCUGAGAAAAGAUCUCAAAUUUUAGUACUUCACUGCAGAUGAAGAGCUUCAUACAAGUCUGUCUUUCUGGGAGCAGUUUCAGCUGGUAACAAUCAGCUAAGGAAACAGUUAAGAGAAAUCAAUCAUAUAUCCAAUAUUUUGUUUACAUCUAAAAAUUGGUGAAUAGUUGUUAUGUGUUUUGCGUUGAGUUGGUCACUGACUUCUUAAUAAAUUUGGUUAUGUUGAUCA